GCAGUGGCUGAAGAAGCAGCAGUGGCUGAUCAAGAGGAUGACCAGCUUGGAGGUGAUCUCCACGGAGGUGCCAUCCAUGUGCUUCCUUUUGAUAUCAACUUGUAUGCAUCUGACCAUCAAGGAGAAAUACAUCCAGGUGACAAACUACCAAAGUUGAGAGGAAAUAUACAUGAAGGUGGAGGAGAAUCAAACUCGUAUCCGAACUUAUGGAGUUUUGGACCCAGAAACCCAAUUAAACACCUCCAAAUGGACCAAACAUUCAUACCAAUGGAUUUAGGGGCCUAAAAUGAGUGUCCAGGCCGAAAACCGAAGCGAACGGAGCCGUCCCAGGUUCGGCCGAACCCUGAGUACGGAUGAACCCUCACGAAGGCCGUUGGCCCAGGCCAAAGUUGCGUUUGGUAGCAAUCCGCUUACCAAUGACGGUUAUGGCCAUUUUCACCGGUAGAAACCGUCAUAACAUGGACACUUGACAACACAAGAGAGAAGAUGCUCUUUGGAUGCUUGGAGGAUCUCCACUCUCUCAAGUCACCUCCACACUAUAAAUACCCCUCUCCUCCCUCAUUCUCACACACACCAAAGCAUGAGCUGAAUUAUAAGAGGCUCUAGUAUACUUUAUUGUAUAUUAGAUUAGGGAGAGAGUAAGGUAGAAGAAAUCGGAGGAAUUACGGAGUUGUCGGUAAUCUUCUCUUAAUUCUGUAUCUUGUUAAUUACUUUGCUUUAAUAGAAAUAUCAUUCUGAGUAAUUAAGAUUUACUUAGUGAGAAUUACUUUUUGGUUAGUUCCUAAUUAGCGUACAGGAUCAUUGUUCACUAUAGUUUAUUAAUUUAUAGUGAUUGCUUUAGUGUUUGAUCGGCACUAGAGUAGUUAUUAAUUGCGUAGACGCGGUGUCUAGGUAAUUAAUUUCCAGUGGUUGCUGCGUAUCCCACAGUACGUUUGAGGUGGGUGUAGAGGUGGUGACAGCCCUCAAGAGAACUUAAGUCCUCCCUGUCCAGGUACGUAAUAGAGCAACAUCUGGAAACAGCGGGUUGCCAGUGCCUGAAGUAUUGCGUUAGGAUUAAAAUUAAGCUUUCCCUAGACACUGUUUCUUAUUAGGAAAUCCUCUAUGCCCUCUGCCCACAUUAGCUUUGUGUCCUUGGAUGAACCUGACGAUGAGUUGAACUCACACGUUCCCUAUGGAAAUCGAUACUCUGGAAUACUCCCAGACGAUGCCGAUGCCAUGGAUCAAGUUCUGCAAGUAAAUGGAGGUCACAACCAUAAUGCCUUUCCUUUUGAUCUCAACUUUGAUGCCGAUGAGGAAGACCUACAAAUGCAUCCAGACAUGCAAGAGUAUGGCGUGUAUGCGGG